rnacentral:lncRNA from 1 species
CUUAGGCCAUGAGCCCUGUUCAGAUGGGAUCUCAAUGCUCUGGCUUGCUCUCUGGGACCUCACACCCUCUUACUCUCCACCCAGCAACCCAAAGGCUUCACUGAGUGUCUCUGGGAUGAACAAACUGAGGCUCAGAGAGCUUACAUCAUUCAUCCCAGGUUAGAACUGAUGGAAACAUUGAAGCUCAGAAAGGAUAGGUAGCCUAUCUAAGGCCACACAUCCCCCAUCAUCCAUGGAUUAUUACAUUAGAUAUUCUUUGCUGAGAGAAGCACACUGUUUUUAGCAGAUGCUUUGAAAAGCCUACUUCAGGACACAAACUGAACUCCCAGGACAGGAACUUCUCCAAGAAUGUGUCCAUCAGGGGGACUCUAUUCCACGGAGACACUCAGGGACGAAGGCUGACUGAGGCUUGACCGUCUUGCUACAUUACUCUCUCAAUAUGUGGCUUUCGAGUUUGCCAAAGCAGGAGAAGGAAGCUAGAGGGUUGAACAAGGCUUUUCACUGACCCAGCCCAGAAGAAACACAUGCUACCUCUGUUCCCAGUUAUUGCAGAACUAGUCACAGGGCCCCAAGCAAACUGCAAAGGAGGUUGGGAAAUAUGAGAACCAUACGGAUAUUUAAUGAAUACCAAAUGUUCCUGUCAUACUCCUUAUUAUAGAUCGAACAGUGUUCCCCCCAAAAGAUAUGUUUAAGUCCCAACCGUUAGUACCUCAGAAUAUGAUCUUAUUUGGAAACAGGGUCUUUAUAGAGGUAAUCAAGUUAAAAUUCCUUCCAGUUAAAAUCCUUCUUCUGUCUCCUGUUAAAAUGAGGUCAUUAGAGUGAGCCUUAACCCAACAUGACUGAUGUCACUAUAAAAGGAAGUCAUUUGGACACAGAUACGGACAUGCACAGAAGGAAGAUGCCGUGAACACAUGCAGGGAGCAGAUCACCACGUGAAGAUGGAAGCAGAGAUUACAGGUAUGUUGCCACAAGCCAACAAAUGCUUGGGUCACCAAAAGCUAGGAGAGAGGCAUGGAACCUCAAAAGGAGCCAAUCCUGCUGACAUCUUGAUUUUGGACUUCUAGCUUCUGGAACUAAGAGAGAAUAAAUUUCUGUUGUUCUAAACCAACGGUUUGUGGUACUUUGCUACAGUAGUCUUAGGAAAUGAAUACAUUCAUCUAUCAAGUUUUUGCAUAAAGAAAUUUAAUACAUGGAAUUACGUGCUUAUGAAUCUGUUAGAAUGACUAGAAAAACAGGCUCUAGGCUAGAUAUCCUGGAAUUACAGUCAUGCUUUGCUUAACGAUGGG